AAAGUGCUCGGACUGGAGCGUUUCCUGGAUCUCGGGCUCCCGGUUCCCAGGCGGGUGCUGUUGCUGCAGCUGCUGCUGCUGCGAGGCCGAAGACGAGCCGGCGGUCAGGCCGUCCAGCACCUUCCUGAUGUUGAAUUUCCUCAUGGUCUCGACGGGGUCCCCCGCAGCCCGGGAGGGGAGAUGAGAAACUGAGCCAGGAAGAAAUUACAUCUGUUGCCCAAGGUUAUGUGGCUGCUAAUGCAUCACUUAAACUCUGAAAAGAUUGACUUCCCCAAGGAGAAAUCAAAUUCAUAGUGUCUCAAGGAAUCAAAUGGCUUGAGUUUAAAGGACAAGUAAAGUGUAUGGGAGUGACCAUUCUGCUGGCUCAGAGCAUCCCACAAGUUCCACCCGUCUGGAAAAAGCCAGAUCACUUCAAGGGA